rnacentral:rRNA from 1 species
UACAGAGGUCCCAAGCGUUGUUCGGAUUCACUGGGCGUAAAGCGUGCGUAGACGGUUAUUUAAGUCAGGUGUGAAAGCCCCGGGCUCAACCUGGGAAUUGCAUUUGAGACUGAAUAGCUAGGGUGCGGAAGAGGGAAGCGGAAUUUCCGGUGUAGCGGUGAAAUGCGUAGAUAUCGGAAGGAACACCAGUGGCGAAAGCGGCUUCCUGGUCCAGCACCGACGUUCAGGCACGAAAGCGUGGGGAGCAAACAGG